GAUGAACGCUAGCGGCAGGCCUAACACAUGCAAGUCAGGGGUAGAAUUAGCUUGCUAAUUUGAGACCGGCGCACGGGUGCGUAACGCGUAUGCAAUCUACCUUGUACAGGGGAUAGCCCAGAGAAAUUUGGAUUAAUACUCCAUGGUAUAAUUGAAUCGCAUGGUUUGAUUAUUAAAGUUCCAACGGUACAAGAUGAGCAUGCGUCCCAUUAGCUAGUUGGUGUGGUAACGGCAUACCAAGGCGACGAUGGGUAGGGGUCCUGAGAGGGAGAUCCCCCACACUGGUACUGAGACACGGACCAGACUCCUACGGGAGGCAGCAGUGAGGAAUAUUGGUCAAUGGUCGGAAGACUGAACCAGCCAUGCCGCGUGCAGGAAGACGGUCCUAUGGAUUGUAAACUGCUUUUGUACGGGAAGAAACACUCCUUCGUGAAGGAGCUUGACGGUACCGUAAGAAUAAGGAUCGGCUAACUCCGUG
rnacentral:rRNA from 1 species